rnacentral:lncRNA from 1 species
CAACUAUGCACUUACAUGUGAACUAGUGGUCUCAUUUCCCCUUCCCUGUUUGUGUUUUCUUUCCUGAACUAUGGGUGAUACUCUACUUCUCAGAUUGUCCUACUCACCUUCUUACAAAACUGUCACACUCUUCUACUAUUUUCUUUCAAGAACUGAUUCUAGAAGGAUCAUUUUAAUACUGUUUCUCUCAACUUAAUUUCUUUAAAAAUAUAUCACGCACUCUCACUACUCUUAGAGAUUAGGUCCUACCCCCUUCGUGUAAGCAUUGCUUUAGGUACCUUUGAGUACUCACUGAACUUUGAUGCACAAGGCUGGUAAUUCCACACUGCACUUGUUCAAUAUGUUUGGUAAGUGUUUGCGUGCUGGUAUUGGCCAGGGACCCAAUGGGGCCUCAGGGAUCUUUGUCGCACCCAGACCAUGGCAAAGGCUGUGAAACUCGAGAAGAGCGAGGUUGGAAGAUUUUUCCUGACUGAAGGCUCCAUAUAGAAUAACUUCUUAUUUUCAAUCUUUAUUACUGUAAUUCCUCUAUACUUGGUUUGUAAUAAUUUGUAAAUGAAUGAUUGGGUUAAUAAUGAAAUUGGGUGGGGGUUAUGCAUGCUUAGUUUAAGCAAUGGGUAGAAAACACGUUCAUAGGAUUUUAUUUACUUAUUUACGCAAUAGAUAUCCCGUAUAGGACAUGCAUCUCAUACAUUAGAGUUCCUGUUUUAGGUUCAGUACUUUUAUCCUAUUAUUGUGCUCAUUUCGCAACCAUGAUCACUUAAUAACAAACCAAUAACUGUCAUAAGACUACUGUCGCAUUCUCAUUAGCAUUUAAAGACCAUAUUUCUUGGAACUUCUAUGUGCAUUAGACAUCUUGUUACUUAGGGUUUUAUUUUGCCUGAGUUGUAAUCGUAAAC